UCCAUCCACCAGCACCCAGCUGCCUCUCAACAGGAAACUCAGUCAGAAGAGAGCCAGCUUUGCCAACCCAUCUGAUUCAGUUCCACAUUCUGACCUGUCUGAUCUGGCUCCUUGGCAGGCUCAACAGUAAGAAAGACGAAUGUUUUCCAUCCCACUGCCACGUUUCAAAAUAAAGGUUUAGUCACUUUGAUCCU